rnacentral:lncRNA from 1 species
UUCCAAUUUAUGAUAAGGGAAUCACGGACACUCUCUGCAGUUGCAAAGUAAGCCUUACUGGGCUCAAAUUUCUCAGGAGAAAAAGAUGUGGUGAACUCAGCAUGAUAUUUUAUGCUUGAAGCUACAGAUGCAGAAUCUGUAACAAAUUCAUUUGAAGUGCAACCUUGUUUGAUGAGUCGUUCUUUCAGUUCCGCUGUUUUGUCGCUGGCAACAUUCUUUACAUAGAGCUUUCUAAUUGCUCUUCUGGAAUUUGACUUUGUGAUGACAAACAACUGCCAAAUAUUAUUUCUUUGACCGAGACCUGUAAAGUUUGAUUUGGAAUGGGGAUGUAAAGGUGAGUUUGAAUGCCUGCAGGUUGUUGAGAAUGGUAGAGCAGACAUUGCUGCUAGUUUUUCUUGUAAAGUAUGAUGUGUCAGAGGAGCAGUAUUCCACAGAACAGAAAUAAUGUAUGUUAUUUUGAGUAGU